GUGCUUCUUUUGACAGCACAUAUACUAAAAUUGGAGCCAUAUAGAGAAGAUUAGCAUGGCCCUUUUGCAAGGAUUACACGCAAAUUCGUGAAGCAUUACAGAAAGAA